rnacentral:rRNA from 1 species
UGAGCAAUCUGCCCUUCUCUUUGGAAUAAGCGUUGGAAACGACGUCUAAUGCCGAAUACGACCUCCUUUCGCAUGAUCGGAGGUGGAAAGCUCCGGCGGAGAAGGAUCAGCUCGCGGCCUAUCAGCUAGUUGGUGUGGGUAAUGGCCCACCAAGGCGACGACGGGUAGCCGGCCUGAGAGGGUGACCGGCCACACUGGGACUGAGACACGGCCCAGACUCCUACGGGAGGNAGCG